UGGGGAAUAUUGGGCAAUGGGCGCAAGCCUGACCCAGCAACGCCGCGUGAAGGAUGAAGGCCUUCGGGUUGUAAACUUCUUUGAUCAGGGACGAAAAAAAUGACGGUACCUGAAGAACAAGCCACGGCUAACUACGUGCCAGCAGCCGCGGUAAUACGUAGGUGGCGAGCGUUAUCCGGAUUUACUGGGUGUAAAGGGCGUGUAGGCGGGUCUGCAAGUCGGAUGUGAAAUUUCCAGGCUUAACUUGGAAGGGUCAUCCGAAACUGCGGAUCUUGAGUACUGGAGAGGAUAGUGGAAUUCCUAGUGUAGCGGUAAAAUGCGUAGAUAUUAGGAGGAACACCAGUGGCGAAGGCGGCUAUCUGGACAGUAACUGACGCUGAGGCGCGAAAGCGUGGGGAGCAAACAGG
rnacentral:rRNA from 1 species